rnacentral:lncRNA from 1 species
ACCCCAACAAAACUCUAGCACCAAAGCCACCAAAAUGCUAUUGCAGGAAAAAAGGCUGUGAUAUCGAAUGGUGUUCAUGUGCUAAGGUUUUUUUCGUUGUUACAUAUAUCAAUAUCAUGUAUUUUUUAGUUUCAUUUAUAAUCUGAGUUACAAUGGGUGGUUUUAUUUUGAAGGGCGGUGUUGGUUGCUCCAAAAAUUGUAAAUGUAAAGGGUGCAAAAAUAAACAUGGCACAAAGGAGCAGAGUAAAGCUAAAACAAGAGUCUGAGCUUGAACAGAAGCAUUGCAGAGUUUGUGGGAUCAAAUGAUGUUGGAUCAAUAACUGUUUCAGAUUAUGUAUAAAUUUUAAUGUCAUUCUUUUAGUCUUUCGUAAUAGGUGAAAAUUGGUUUGAGAUUUUGGUUAUUAUCUUUGGUUUUCAAUAGUGAAUCUAGAAAACUUUCUUACUGAAUAUGAA